CCUGCAGGUCUUCAGUCCAAGGUCUCCUAUCUUUAGGAGGACCUUGACUUGCUGAUCAGAUGAAGAUGAUGGAGCUUGCGGGGGCGUCAGGUCAAUGCUCAUCUCUGACUGGUGCGGGGAGUGUCGGGAUGAGCUCCUCGUACCUAUGUUCUUGAAGGCCUUGCCCGUGUUCUUUACCUUUUUGAACAUCCUGAACAAAAGUUGACACAAACACAACUAGUGGAAAAUGUGAGAGAAAAUGUUAGUGGUCAGCUGUCCGAAAUGUCAGUAGUCCAGGGGUUAGUCGUUCAAGACAAGUUUUUAUUUUGGCAGUACUGUCGGUGCAAAAGCUGAUCUGCAAACAAAAAGUGCUAAUACCCGAUUCAAACGUUAAGGCG
rnacentral:lncRNA from 1 species